UUUAGUGAUUUUGGGGAUUAAAACCUCUUUUUUCUUAAAAAUGCACCUGGCAGUAUUGGUAAAAGUCAAAUAAACAUAUGUUUCAUUAAAUAUUUCAAAAUAAAUGAAGCUGCUGAGCAAUAAUGAAAGGCAAUAGCUGAAAUGAUGCCUGUUGCUUUGUCUUUACCACUGCCACAAAAGCUAUAGCUGAAGUCGAGCAAAUGACCCAGGAAUCUGACACCUGGAGAGAGAAUCGUACACAUUAGCAAAUGUGCUCAAUCUGCGAAUGUUGAACUUGAAUGCAACCAAACUAUUAUUUUAAUUUUCUCUAAUAAGGGCGUAAAUUGUUGGUGCGUCCAUACUUCUUCUUGCGGCAGUUAUUAGCACGGGAAUGGAGAGGAGUGUAGUACUUACGGCCACCACCUGUAUCGUCGUAUGUAUGCGGGUCAUUACGAUUUGACGACGAUGAUGAUGUCCACUGAAAUGCUUAGGCAAUUGCAGUUGAUGAUAAUGGGAAGACGAUGACGACUGAUAGUGGAAAAUACACAUGGACGUGUCCAACGUUACACAUAUAAAAUGAAAUAUUGCAAUGAAGCAAAUAAUACACGUACCUUUAAAUGCUAAUUUUGUGUUUGUUGGAUAAGUUAUGGAUAAAUAAUAGUUUAUGUUUGAAUUGGAA